rnacentral:rRNA from 1 species
GCAAGUCGAACGGUAACAGGUCUAGCUUGCUAGAUGCUGACGAGUGGCGGACGGGUGCGUAACGCGUGGAAAUCUACCUAUUAGUCGGGGACAACCUGAGGAAACUCAGGCUAAUACCGGAUGUGGUCUACGGACUAAAGGUUGCCUCUCCUUGGAAGCAAUCGCUGAUAGAUGAGUCCGCGUUGGAUUAGCUAGAUGGUGGGGUAAAGGCUUACCAUGGCGACGAUCAGUAGCUGGUCUGAGAGGAUGAUC